rnacentral:misc_RNA from 1 species
CAACCCUCAAGCCCCUCCGGGCUUGGCGUUGGGGAUCGGCCUCCGCUCCGGCGGCCGGCCCCGAAAUCGAGUGGCGGUCCCGCCGCGGCUUCCUCUGCGUAGUAAAACACCUCGCACUGGGACGCGGCGCGGCCACGCCGUAAAUCAGACGAAUCUUUCUGAA